CCUACGGGAGGCAGCAGUGAGGAAUAUUGGUCAAUGGCCGGAAGGCUGAACCAGCCAAGCCGCGUGAAGGACGAAGGUGCCAAGCAUUGUAAACUUCUUUUGUCAAGGGACAAAAUCAGGCUCGAGAGCCUGACCGAGGGUACUUGAAGAAAAAGCAUCGGCUAACUCCGUGCCAGCAGCCGCGGUAAUACGGAGGAUGCGCGCGUUAUCCGGAUUUAUUGGGUUUAAAGGGUGCGUAGGCGGACUGGUAAGUCAGCGGUAAAAUCCCGGGGCUAAACCCCGGCGAGCCGUUGAACCUGGCUGUCUUGAGAUGUCGAGAGGUAUGCGGAAUGCGCAGUGUAGCGGUGAAAUGCUUAGAUAUUGCGCAGAACUCCGAUUGCGAAGGCAGCAUACCGGCGGCGAUCUGACGCUGAGGCACGAAAGCGUGGGUAUCGAACAGGAUUAGAUACCCUAGUAGUC
rnacentral:rRNA from 1 species